UGAACUUCUUUGAGCUGGUACUUGCUCUGUGAAUGGGAAUAAUCCUAUUUUACCAUCAAAUAUGAUUUCCCCAUCACUGCCAAUAAGUGGCCUACACACAGCAGCCAUGAACAUCACUUUAGUGAUGAAUCUCUUGGACUUACAGGACCUAUAAGGCUCAUCCUCAUCCGGCAAAAGGUUCCCCUCUGUCCAUUUGUUGCUUGCUGAUAUCCCAAAUUCUCAUUGUUGUCCUUGUAUGGAUGUUGAAUCUUUUGGCUGCCUCUGUAAAUGAACCUCUUGGCAGCACUCCAGCUUGACUUUGCUGUAGAAGAAACUGUGCAAUGAGAUUUUUUUCUUGGGUGUUCAAUGCUAAUGACAUCCGCUGCCUUCCACCUUGCCCCUGCACCUGCUGCUCCUGCUCAUGGUCCAACUCUUGGACCACCUCCUGCUCCAUAUGCCCAGUGAUGAAGAUUUUCUGAGGGUAUUUCACUUAAAUAGGUUUCCUUUUUUUUUUUUUUUGGUUGGUGGAAGUGAAUGGAGUAGAAAUGAAUGUACUUAUAGGAGUAGUUGGAGUUUGAAAUUCAUUGUAAAUUUUCCCUCCUUGUAUGAACAAAUUCCCUCCAUGGAAUUGGAGGCUUUCCCUCCUUAUAUUUUGAAAUUUGAAUGGCAGCUUUGUUCUCUCAA